AUUGAACGCUGGCGGCAUGCCUUACACAUGCAAGUCGAACGGCAGCGGGCCCUUCGGGGUGCCGGCGAGUGGCGAACGGGUGAGUAAUGCAUCGGAACGUACCCGGGAGAGGGGGAUAACCGGCCGAAAGGCUGGCUAAUACCGCAUGAACUCGGAAGAGCAAAGCGGGGGACCUUCGGGCCUCGCGCUCUCGGAGCGGCCGAUGUCCGAUUAGGCUAGUUGGUGGGGUAAAGGCCCACCAAGGCGACGAUCGGUAGCGGGUCUGAGAGGACGAUCCGCCACACUGGGACUGAGACACGGCCCAGACUCCUACGGGAGGCAGCAGUGGGGAAUCUUGGACAAUGGGCGCAAGCCCGAUCCAGCAAUGCCGCGUGGGUGAAGAAGGCCUUCGGGUUGUAAAGCCCUUUCGGCGGGGAAGAAAUCGGUCAGGCGAAUAGUCUGGCCGGAUGACGGUACCCGCAGAAGAAGCACCGGCUAACUACGUG
rnacentral:rRNA from 1 species